rnacentral:rRNA from 1 species
GGAAGUAAAAAGUCGUAACAAGGUCUCCGUUGGUGAACCAGCGGAGGGAUCAUUACCGAGUUAUUCAACUCAUCAACCCUGUGAACAUACCUAAACGUUGCUUCGGCGGGAAUAGACGGCCCCGUGAAACGGGCCGCCCCCGCCAGAGGACCCUUAACUCUGUUUCUAUAAUGUUUCUUCUGAGUAAAACAAGCAAAUAAAUUAAAACUUUCAACAACGGAUCUCUUGGCUCUGGCAUCGAUGAAGAACGCAGCGAAAUGCGAUAAGUAAUGUGAAUUGCAGAAUUCAGUGAAUCAUCGAAUCUUUGAACGCACAUUGCGCCCGCCAGUAUUCUGGCGGGCAUGCCUGUUCGAGCGUCAUUACAACCCUCAGGCCCCCGGGCCUGGCGUUGGGGAUCGGCGGAGCCUCUCUGUGGGCACACGCCGUCCCCCAAAUACAGUGGCGGUCCCGCCGCAGCUUCCAUCGCGUAGUAGCUAACACCUCGCGACUGGAGAGCGGCGCGGCCACGCCGUAAAACACCCAACUUUUCUGAAGUUGACCUCGAAUCAGGUAGGAAUACCCGCUGAACUUAAGCAUAUCAAUAAGCGGAGG